GUCAUUACUUCAGCUGCACAGAUACUGAUGUUGGAGUGAUACAGAGAAGGCUAGCAUGGCCCUGCACAAGGAUGACACACAAAGAUGUGAAAUGUUUUAUACAAUU